rnacentral:rRNA from 1 species
AACGUAGGACACAAGCGUUAUCCGGAGUUACUGGGCGUAAAGCGCGCGCAGGCGGUUUGUUAAGUUCGCUAUGAAAGCGCCCGGCUAAACUGGGCGAGGCUGGCGGAUACUGGCAAGCUAGAGUGAGACAGAGGCAGAUGGAAUUCCGCGUGUAGUGGUGAAAUGCGUAGAGAUGCGGAGGAACACCAGUGGCGAAGGCGGUCUGCUGGGUCUCAACUGACGCUGAGGCGCGAAAGCGUGGGUAGCGAACGGG